rnacentral:tRNA from 1 species
AGCCCGGUCGUCCAGCGGACAAGGAUAAGGGCCUUUGGAGCCUUAGACGGGAGUUCGAAUCUCCCCCGGGCUA